AUUUUGUUCUUAUUAUCCAAAUCAUGAGAUAGUACUAUAAUUUGUCUCAGUAUUCUAGACGAAUUCUAAAAACUAUCAACAUUCGCAAAUAUAAUACCAUAUUAUCUUUAUAUGUAUGUAUGUACAUAUGUAUGUAUGUACUUGGCUAGAAUCUAAAACAAACUUGAUCUGCGUAGAAAAGUAUCAAGUGCAUUCGAAAAAAACAGCUCUAUCUUUUAUAGUCUCUGAGUUCCAGUGUUUCAUGCGGUCAGAGAGACAUGGAACGAGCAGACGGACAUGGCUGUAUAGCCUCGGCUGUUGUCGCUGAUCAAUAAUAUAUAUACUUUAUGGGGUCGGAAAUGACUUCUUCUGCCAAUUACACACAGAACCACAUUCAAAAUAUACCAUAGACGGCACAAUAUACCAGAUUGUCGGCCAAAGCAACUAAAUUUUAUGGAUAUAAAUAUUUUCCAAUGCGCCGUCCUUAAAAGCACGUUAAGUGUAAUGUGCGAACAUCGAUGAUGAAAUAUGAUUUACAUUUAAUUUUUACAUUAAAAAUGCAGAAGCCUUUUCCUGAUCAGUAGUAAUAGCGCUAGGAUUUUAUAAGAAUGUUCAUCAAAUUAAAGGUAGUUAUUAUAUUUUUAAAUAUAAUUAAUGUUUUCAUAUAGACAACUUAAACUGAUUCGUUUACAAAGCUUCUCAAAAUAAAUGUCAGUCAAAAAUAUUAUAUUUCAUG